rnacentral:lncRNA from 1 species
GAUAAAGACCAGAGAGAGAUUUUUCUACCUCUUGAAGUUUUCACCACCUGAAGUUUGGGAAACCAUGUUCUGCUGCAUUGUCCUGAUGACAUGUGACAUCGACUUUAUGACUAAGAUAUGUUGCUUCUGGCUAUAGAAUAUAAUUUCGCCUGCCACGAGUUUUUGGCUUGUAUGAAAGGUGAAGUCCGUUUCUUGAGGACUCUGUUCCCUUACAUCAGUCUAAAGAAAUUCAUGGAAGUGUCCUGCUAGCAUUCCAGAAACAUGAAUUGAUGCCCUUUCAGCAAGUUGGUACAGAUAAGAAGUUUCAUUUGCCUUUCCUGUGAACUGAUGAAACCAAGUGCAGUGAAACUCACUUCUAAGACUUCUGAACAGCCACGGUCUGAUGUGUUUGGUACUGACCCCAGUGAUGGAUUCGGUGGGUGAAAGAAGAAAUAUGGGAAAACGUUUCUUCUAGCUUAGGUUGCCAGAGCUGGAAGUAAAAUAGAGAAUGUAUAGUAUUAUUGGUGGUCCAGGCAAAAAAAGAAAUCCAUUCUUCCUCCUGCUCUGCCUCAAAAGCUCAAGAAAGCAACAUUUAUUUUUCAAACCAGAGGGAUAUGUUGACUAGGAAUUCUCAGGCAAGAAACAAUAUAUGAGAGAUGAGGCCACUAGCCCAUUCAGA